rnacentral:rRNA from 2 species
CGAUUUGGGAUAAGUCCCUUGGAAAAGGGCAGCACAGAGGGUGAUACUCCCGUCUUUGCUCAGAUUGUCUAUGUGUACGAUACGCUUUCUUUGAGUCGAGUUGUUUGGGAAUACAGCUCAAAGUAGGUGGUAAAUUCCAUCUAAAGCUAAAUAUUGGUGCGAGACCGAUAGCGAACAAGUACCGUGAGGGAAAGAUGAAAAGAACUUUGAAAAGAGAGUUAAAGAGUACCUGAAACUGUUGAAAGGGAACCGUAACAUGUCCAGUGUUGUAUCUUGUGCAUAUUUCAUUAGUGGAGUAAUUUACUGGUGCCCUGUGCAUGAGUGUGACGUCAAAGUCAGUUUGUAUGCUGCGGGAGAUGGUUAGCAAGGAGGUGCGUCGCUUUUGUGUCAGUUAUACCUUGUUAUCUAGUAGCCGUGGUUGAGACUGAGGUGCCUACAACAUGCUUAUAGAGUAUAUUGUUGUCUCGUUAUUAUACCUGUUUGGAUAGCUUGCUAUGCUGAUGGUCUAUAGUGGCGAUUGAUGAUGGUAUUAACUUUUUGCUGUUCGGGACUUUGACGAAAUGGAAUGUUACGACCCGUCUUGAAACACGGACCAAGGAGUCUAACAUGUGUGCAAGUAUUAGGGUGUGGAAACCCAAAUGCGUAAUGAAAGUAAAUGCUACCUGUGUAGCUUUGGUAGGAAAGGGCUGUCAUGGUCCUGGCACUAUCGACCGAUCAUGAACCUACGGGUGAAAGAUUUGAGUAUGAGCAUAUAUGUUGGUACCCGAAAGAUGGUGAACUAUGCCUGAAUAGAGUGAAGCCAGGGGAAACUCUGGUGGAAGCUCGUAGCGAUUCUGACGUGCAAAUCGAUCGUCAAAUUUGGGUAUAGGGGCGAAAGACUAAUCGAACCAUCUAGUAGCUGGUUCCCUCCGAAAUUUCCCUCAGGAUAG